UUAUGGAAUAUUUUUAACUGCCUUGUCAAAGCUAAGAUGAAUUGUUGCUCUGCUAUUUACUGAAUCUUUUUGUGUUUUCCUGCCCUAUGGUUACUUAUCAUUUUCAUUAAAGAUUUAUAUGUAAAAGCAUAUGAACAAUCACACGUGUACUGUUUAUUUGUGUAUUUCAAAUGUUUUCCAAACAUUCAUUCUUCUAAGUUAAUUUUUCAAAUAUUUUUCUUAAUUCAGUUCUGUUUUAUUGUGCUCAUUAUUGACAUUGCGUAUUAUCUAUCAUGGAGAUACAGAUAAGUCAAAUAAUUACUUUUCAUGAUAACAUAUAAUCUUCAUUGUUAAAAAGUCUGCAAAGUUUGGGCCGCCAAAGCAUUUCCAAAUUAUGAAUUCAGUUCUUCUUGGGCUUAAAUAGGUGACCAAUUAUCUAUUGCAAAGGAUACAUGCUGACAUUUUUGAAUUGGAACAAACAUGUAUCUUGCUUCUCCAUUGCUGGAUCGUAAUAGAGAGGAACAUGAAGCUCUUCCUAUGGAUGGCCUUAUUUAGAAGGGGGAAUUUCAAUAUAUGGGCCAUCAUUGUAAAUCAGUAUAAUUUUGAUUCACCUACUGCGCUUCUCCCCCUCCCUACUGAUCUGCUGAUGGCAAUGCCGAAGAUCUGGGAGUACGCCUUCUACCUGUUGGUUUCUUCCAUGAAACGUUGGAGUCAUGGGUAGAAAAAAACUUUUAUUGAUGCUCAGGACUGAUAAUUUCCAGUGAGAGGAAAAUUGAAUGCAUUGCUAGUCUUGGCUUGUCUUUAUCUCAUUGUGAAUUGGUUCUGAUCAGCAUAUUUUCUUCUGGUGAUAUUUGUACGAACUUUACCCUUGUUAACAUAGAGUGGCUCUUUCCGGCCGGUAAGUUUUAGGUUUAUUAAUUUUCCUCUUUACAUUUGUAGUCUAUCAAAAGUUCAAUUAUUUAGUAGCUUCUAUCAAAUUAUAGGGAGAGUGAUGAACACAUAUAACACUCUUACUAUAUAUGUAAUAGAGAAUCUUACAUGCUAGCAUCCUAUUAAUCGUUGGAUCUUCUUCUCUGCUUCUCGACCCUGUCCAACCCAUUAC